rnacentral:rRNA from 1 species
UACGGGGGGGGCAAGCGUUGUUCGGAAUUACUGGGCGUAAAGGGCUCGUAGGCGGCCAACUAAGUCAGACGUGAAAUCCCUCGGCUUAACCGGGGAACUGCGUCUGAUACUGGAUGGCUUGAGAUUGGGAGAGGGAUGCGGAAUUCCAGGUGUAGCGGUGAAAUGCGUAGAUAUCGGGAGGAACACCAGUGGCGAAGGCGACUUCCUGGCCUGUUCUUGACGCUGAGGCGCGAAAGCUAGGGGAGCAAACGGG